rnacentral:lncRNA from 1 species
GAAGGAAUCCGUUACUAGGUAUGUUAUUUCCUUUGCUUAUGCCUCAAUGUCCAAUAUUUUGUAAAAAGAAAUCAAGCUUGGUCUAAGUGAGGCUAUAGAGAAUCAAGGGAAAUUUCUCUUCUAGACUUGGGCUCGCCUCCUGUGUGGUCCUGUGAACUGCAGCAGAUCAUGUCUGGGGACUAUGGCCUGGAGGCCUGAUGAAGUACUUGGGACUUGAAAAUUAUAAACAUACAACUAAUACCAGGCUUGGUGCCAUGGAAUAUUCUGAUUGGAGGGACAUGGCAACUGGGGGAAGAAUGAGCUCCAGGAAGGCAGGCAUUUCUCAGAGGAGGGAUACCCAAGUGGAGAAAAAGACAACUCAGGUGGCAAGGAGUAAAGGUCUCUCUUUUACUUGAAAUGUGAGUAACCUUGUCUAGAGAAUAGGUUGUUUUGCUCUCUCUCUCUUUCUCUUUCUUUCUCUUUCAAAGCUGCAGCAAAAGUAAUCUGAAAAGACACAUGUGAUGCAAGUGUGUCAUAAAGGGCACCUAUUCUGAACUUUGAGUCUGUCAAAAAGUAUGAGUGCC